UUCUGGGUGGUGCAGAUAGUUAAGCACUCAAUUACUAACUGAAAAGUUGGUGGUUUGAACCCACCCUCAGAAG
rnacentral:tRNA from 1 species